GAGAGAGAGAGGCACAAGUCGGUGACCCAAGAUAUAAACCGGUCCAUUGCCCGCCCGAACUCACUCUUCUGUCGUGCUCUCAGGAGGUACAGUAUUCGACAGUGGGGGCGGUUGGAAGGUUUCUUAACGAAAAGACGUGAGAGCGUGUGUAAAACUGGUCUUCGCUUCCCAGACUCAUCGUAAUGGACAUGAAAGUGCUACUGCUGGUAUUCUUGUUGUGCGUGCUUGCCCUGGUAUCUGUCGACGCACAAAGUUUCAUCAACCUCCAGAGACGGAAAAAGCCCGGCGAGAGGCGCUACGGCGCGACACACUAUGGGGCACACAAAUUUGGCAAGAAAGGAUACGCAAACUUACGACCUAGACCAAACAGGGCCAAGACAACUGGAUAACUGGUCUAGCAUCGACAUCUCAGGCUUUCUGAAAGUACAAAAUAGUUUCCCAAGCUCAGAGUCCUUCCAAAGUUCACCGUUACCAGAUCACUUGUGUGGACCAUGGAAUCCAAUGAAGUUAUGAUGAUGUUAGCAAGUCAGUCAUAAUUGAAAAUGUGCUCACAUUCAUAUGUAUUACCACAGAUGGGUUUUCUGGCAGCUUCCACAGAACUGAAGAUCCAUACAAGAGAAAACUUAGUGUACAACACGGAUAAAAUUAAAAUCGGGUUCACAGACUACAACUUUGUCACAGCAAUCCAAGAACAUCAAAUGACAUCUUCAUAUAGGACUUCAAGAAGCAUAGUUUUGGAAGGUCCAAGGGAUUUUACAACCAAAAGCAAGAGCCAAGAUUCCAUUCUGCUGGAAAAGAACCUUGUAAACACUAAAUGGAUGGAGGAACUGUUACUAUAGAUGAGACUAUUCCUUUGAUGGAAGUGUACCUGUUAUAUUUUUUCACUGCUAUGUUAAGUUGUUUCAGUUAUGUAGUUUAAGACUUGGUUAAGUAACAUUCAAACUAAAAAUAA